rnacentral:rRNA from 1 species
UACGGGGGGGGCAAGCGUUGUUCGGAAUUACUGGGCGUAAAGGGCGCGUAGGCGGUGCUCUAAGUUAGAUGUGAAAACUCUGGGCUCAACCCAGAGCCUGCAUCUAAAACUGGAGUGCUAGAGUUCUGGAGGGGGUAGCGGAAUUCCUGGUGUAGCGGUGAAAUGCGUAGAUAUCGGGAGGAACACCGGUGGCGAAGGCGGCGACCUGGGUUGAUAUUGACGCUGAGGCGCGAAAGCGUGGGGAGCAAACAGG